UAAUCCGGGGCAUAUAAAGACUGGGACCAGAAAAUAUUAACUUUCUCUCCAUUGAAACCCAUUGAUAUUUUUCGAUCUCAUAGGUCCCGUGCAUGGGCUCUACCGGAAGGGGCAUGAAUUUGGCACUAGGAGGAACGAGAUUUUUGGGGGGGCUACAGGAAACAGAAGUGUCCAUUCAUGCACAGCCCUGUUUUUUUGGAAUUAAUAACCAGAGAACAAAUGUUAACACAGAACGACCACACAACCCAAACAUGCAUCAGCAUUCUGUUUCAAAUGGAAAACUGUUUGGCCUUAUCGUUAUGUCCCCCAAAUAUAAGAUUUAACGUUUUCUUAAUACUAAAUAGUUUGUUUGUACAUUGAGUAAAACAUGAAAUGUAAUAUACUAUAUGUAUACAUACUAUAUGUGUAAAUCUCAACUGAAUUUUCAUUAUACCUGUGGCCCAAAAUGAUAGACGUUCAGUAUAUUGCUUUAAUUGUUCUGUGAACCUACCUGUGUAAACUGCAGCCAAGAUCAGGAAAACGAAAACCAGCGCGAAUGUCUUCUGGUUGUUCGCCUUUGCUUCCCGAGGCUUUAGUACUGUAAGACACUGUGUGCAGGUCGAGGAGGCUCUGCUAUUGUAAGACAAUGUCUGCAGGUCGAGGUGGUUAAAUACCCCCCACGUCACUGACACCCAGAAAAAACAGAUUUAAAUAAAAAGAUAACUACGUACUAAUAGUGGCAACUGGUCAGUAGGGGCAAGUGGGGCUCGGCCCCACCUACUCUCACAAGAAAAAAAGAAAAAAGAAAAAAAGGAAAUAUAUAAAAUGAAUUAUAUACAUAUAUAAAAAAUCUCCCCAGAAAGUACUGUCAAAUAAUAAAUUCUGCGCUUUUAGUUCAUUUUUAGUCGACCCUAGCUUGCUUCUUCAGACGGAUUUCGUCUGGAGGGGCAAGAGUGGCUCGAGCCCCAUCAGCCCAAUGUAAUGUGUAUUGGACUUGAAAAAUUGAAAUGCGCAUGCUCAGAGUGUUCCUCUGUUGAAAUCGACGCAGGUUAUUACUUCUGGUGGGGCUGGCACCACCGGGACCGCCAUGGACAUAUAUGGUUCGUUCCACAACAUUGUAAUUUCAUAUUUCACCGUUCAUUGGCUGUAGUGUGUGACGUUGUGAUGGGUCAUGACUCGAGUGAUCUCCCACCUCACCUCACGUGCCGUGCGCGACUCGAGAAGUCCUGUAGCGAAGAAGAGAAGGAGAUGGAUAACUUUGAUAACAAACGUGUCGGAGGCACACAAACGAAAACGAGUCGACAACAUGAAUGAGGUAGAUCAUCUAUUGGAGCACAACUUUGAGACCCUGAGUCUGGCGGAAAAAUUAGAGGACACUGCCUAGGCCUACGGGAGGUGUACUCCAUGGUCCUAGUUGGUGGAGCUGAGGGCUGAAUAGAGAAUGGGAAACAUCAAGCCAGGGCUACAAACAGCAUGGUGGGACACUGACACGUAAGUAAGACCAAUGAUGGAAGCUCAAUCUCUAUUUUGAAAUACUUUUGCUUUUUUAUGAAAAUUACCAAUUUUUUUUGUAAUAUAUUAGGGUUGUAACUUUUUCAAAAAUGAAUUUCGAGAGAGAGAGAGAGAGAGAGAGAGAGAGAGAGAGAGAGAGAGAGAGAGAGAGAGAGAGAGAGAGAGAGAGAGAGAGAGAGAGAGAGAGAGAGAGAGAGAGAGAGAGAGAGAGA